GUGCUCUCUUCGGCAGCACAUAUACUAAAAUUGGAAUGAUACAGAGAAGAUUAGCACGGCCCCUGCGCAAGGAUGACAAAUGUUUUUUUAAAAAUAUUAAAUUUUA
rnacentral:snRNA from 1 species